rnacentral:rRNA from 1 species
CAAUGUAUUGGGUAGGGGAGCGUUGUAUACGCGGUGAAACAGUAGCGUAAGCGGCUGUGGAGUGUAUAGAAGUGAGAAUGCCGGAAUGAGUAGCGCGAAUGCAGUGAGAAUCUGCAUGGCCGAAAGCCUCAGGUUUCUGGAGGAAGGUUCGUCCGCUCCAGGUUAGUCGGGAGCUAAGGUGAGGCCUAACGGCGUAGCCGAUGCACAGACGGUAGAGAUUCCGUCACCACCAAAAGAGUUAAACACAGGGACACAUUUGAAGUCUCGGAGCCGGGUGUUGGUUCCGGUAGCGAUCGAGGGAAAUUAGUACCGAAGUCCGAGAUGGAAGAUGGCGAGAGAAGCUGUGUGUAUUUCUGCGGUGCCCGUACCGCAAACCGACACAGGUAGGUAGGAAGAAGAUUCUAAGGCCAACGGGAGAAGGGUUGUUAAGGAACUCGGCAAAUUGACCCCGUAACUUCGGGGGAAGGGGUGCUGCAGCAAUGCAGCCGCAGAGAAUCGGCCCAAGCAACUGUUUACCAAAAACACAGGUUUGUGCUAAAUCGAAAGAUGACGUAUACGAGCUGACGCCUGCCCGGUGCUGGAAGGUUAAGAGGAGAUGUGCAAGCAUUGAAUCGAAGCCCCAGUGAACGGCGGCCGUAACGAUAACGGUCCUAAGGUAGCGAAAUUCCUUGUCAGGUAAGUUCUGACCCGCAUGAAAGGCGUAAUGAUUUGGGCACUGUCUCAACAGCCCGCCCGGCGAAAUUGUAGUACCGGUGAAGAUGCCGGUUACCCGCGACAAGACGGAAAGACCCCAUGGAGCUUUACUGUAGCCUAAUAUUGGGUUUCGAUGUUGCAUGCACAGGAUAGAUGGGACACUGGGAAGCAGGUGCUUUGGCGCUUGUGGAGUGGCCGUUGGGAUACCAUCCUUGCGAUAUUGGAAUUCUAACCUGCGCCUUUGAAUCAAGGCGGGGGACAUUGUUAGGUGGGCAGUUUGACUGGGGCGGUCGCCUCCUAAAGAGUAACGGAGGCGUUCAAAGGUUCGCUCAGCUUGAACGGAAAUCAAGCAAAAGAGUGCAAACGCAGAAGCGAGCCUAACUGCGAGACUGACGGGUCGAGCAGUAACGAAAGUUGGAGUUAGUGAUCCGGUAUGUGAGUGGAAAUGCCAUCGCUCAACGGAUAAAAGUUACCCUGGGGAUAACAGGCUGAUCUCCCCCAAGAGUCCACAUCGACGGGGAGGUUUGGCACCUCGAUGUCGGCUCAUCGCAUCCUGGGGCUGUAUUCGGUCCCAAGGGUUUGGCUGUUCGCCAAUUAAAGCGGUACGCGAGCUGGGUUCAGAACGUCGUGAGACAGUUCGGUCCCUAUCUGUCGUGGGCGCAGGACAUUUGAUGGGAGCUGUUCCUAGUACGAGAGGACCGGAGCGGACGUACCUCUGGCGCACCAGUUGUUCUGCCAAGAGCAUAGCUGGGCAACUAUGUACGGAUCGGAUAAACGCUGAAAGCAUCUAAGCGUGAAGCCGACCCAAAGAUAAGAUAUCCCAUUGUUUCAAACAAGUAAGACCCCUUGAAGACUACAAGGUUGAUAGGCACGAUGUGUAAGUGGAGCGAUCCAUUCAGCAAGUGUGUACUAAUAGGUCGAGGGCUUGACCG